AUAAUGGGGUAUCUCUGGGGGAAGCUCCUGCUUUGGCAUCUCCUUUUUGUUUUGGCUAUACAAGGAUGGCAACUACGUGCCCUGAACUCGUGUGGGGGCAUUUCUGAGGUCACCAGCCAUCCCUGGGGGAAGUGAGUCAGCAAAAGCAAUAGGUCCAACAGUUAUUUAUCCAUUUAUCCAUUAUUUAUCCUGCAUUUCGAGCAGUGAAGACCAAGCCUUCUGCAAUAUGGCCGCUUCUGUAUUGGUUCAUCCAUUUCCAGGGGAAGUGAAACACAAAACGCCACUCUUUCUGCAGGAGAUCCUUUGUGUGGCUCAGACAGUGAAGAUGCAGAACAACUAGGUGGAGAUCACACAUCCUCCCCAACUCCUUCAAGUACGUAAGAUGUCCUCAAAGCCCACCCAGCGCCUCAUAAUCUGACCAUUCUUUCCAGUCUGACUGUCCCUUACACAGCUUGACAGAUGCAAACAAGAUUUCCCUACUGUUUGCACUUCCUUUUAUGAGUUAUUUACUUUUUUUUUAUCUGGAACCUGGAUUUGAAGUGCUCCUGUGCUCACAGUUUUGAUCCAAGGGAAUCCAGUGGCUGGCUGUUUGUAGCUUACUCACUGUUUAAACAAGCCCAUAGUUAGGCAAAGAGAACAACUAGCCUAGUUUACAGAGUUUAGUCUAUCCUACACUGACAGAAUUAUCUCUUUUUUAACAUGAUUAGGCCAAAAUUUACUGCAGUUACUGCAGUUGCCACAAUAGAACAGGCAAGGCCAAGACAGGUUAAAAUACUUCUGUAGGAAGUUUAAUGAUCUUUGAAAGCUGUUUGUCAUUCUUUCGUUCAGAGUCCAGUCCGAGGAUUACGUACUUAAAAAUCAGCCCUUGGGCUUCAGGCUUCACUUUUCCAUGCUGGUGACCAUCCUUGUCAUGUGGGUCCAGAAACAGAGACUUGAUAAACCUUUAGCCCAACAUUUCUUAUGGCUGAGACACCAGGAGAAGCAGAGCCCAGCAGGUGAUGGGGCAAUGAAAAAAGGGAUUUAACCUACACUUGAGUUCAAAAGGUACAGGGAGAGGUGAGGAACAGAACACAGGAAGGGCAGGAACAAAUGAGCCAAAGAACUACACAAAGAAGUACGAAUGAGACACCAAGCCAUUAUGAGUUGCUCCCUUGGUUUAUGACAGAAUGUGAUGAUUUAGGCCUUUAUCUUGAUUUCCUUGUUAUUUUGUCCUUCCGUCGGCUAUGACACUGAACCUGGACAGCAUUUAGGAUGAGCUCUGAGACACAGUUCAGGGCUGCUGCGGUCACUGAAGCUUUAAUUGAAAAUUGCUGAAACGUGGACACCUAGUGGAGACACCCCACUCUGACACUUCUCUUUCCAGUUGAAAUACAAUUUAAAAAUGGACUUUUA